CUGACCUACGGGACGCAGCAGUGGGGAAUAUUGCACAAUGGGGGAAACCCUGAUGCAGCAACGCCGCGUGAAGGAAGACGGUUUUCGGAUUGUAAACUUCUGUUCUUAGUGAAGAAAAAUGACGGUAGCUAAGGAGCAAGCCACGGCUAACUACGUGCCAGCAGCCGCGGUAAUACGUAGGUGGCAAGCGUUGUCCGGAAUUACUGGGUGUAAAGGGAGCGCAGGCGGGAAGUCAAGUCAGCUGUGAAAAAUACGGGCUUAACUUGUAGACUGCCGGUGAAACUGGUUUUCUUGAGUGAAGGAGG
rnacentral:rRNA from 1 species